GACGAACGCUGGCGGCGUGCUUAACACAUGCAAGUCGAGCGGUAAGGCCCUUUCGGGGGUACGACGAGCGGCGAACGGGUGAGUAACACGUGGGUGACCUGCCCUCAGCUCUGGGAUAAGCCUGGGAAACUGGGUCUAAUACUGGAUAUGACUCCACGGUGCAUGUCGUGGGGUGGAAAGCCUUGUGCGGCUGAGGAUGGGCCCGCGGCCUAUCAGCUUGUUGGUGGGGGGAUGGCC
rnacentral:rRNA from 1 species